AUAUCAGCAUGAGGACACUUCCUGAAUAAAUCUGAAAAUCGCUCCCAAGCUUCAUGGAACUCUUCAUUAGGCUUUUGAACAAAAGAUAGAAUUUUAGUUCUUAUGU